CAGUCGCCGCGGUAAUACCGAGGGUGCGAGCGUUAAUCGGAUUUACUGGGCGUAAAGCGUGCGUAGGCGGCUUUUUAAGUCGGAUGUGAAAUCCCUGAGCUUAACUUAGGAAUUGCAUUCGAUACUGGGAAGCUAGAGUAUGGGAGAGGAUGGUAGAAUUCCAGGUGUAGCGGUGAAAUGCGUAGAGAUCUGGAGGAAUACCGAUGGCGAAUGCAGCCAUCUGGCCUAAUACUGACGCUGAGGUACGAAAGCAUGGGGAGCAAACAGGAUUAGAUACCCCGGUAGUCCCUGUCUCUUAUAC
rnacentral:rRNA from 1 species